rnacentral:rRNA from 1 species
UAGGGAAUAUUGGUCAAUGGGCGCAAGCCUGAACCAGCCAUGCCGCGUGCAGGAAGACGGCCCUAUGGGUUGUAAACUGCUUUUAUCAGGGAAUAAACCCCCGCUCGUGAGCGGGGCUGAAGGUACCUGAAGAAUAAGCAUCGGCUAACUCCGUGCCAGCAGCCGCGGUAAUACGGAGGAUGCAGGCGUUAUCCGGAUUCAUUGGGUUUAAAGGGUGCGCAGGCGGAUUGGUAAGUCAGGGGUGAAAUCCCACAGCUCAACUGUGGAACUGCCUUUGAUACUGUCAGUCUAGAGUAUAGUUGAAGUGGGCGGAAUGUGUCAUGUAGCGGUGAAAUGCUUAGAUAUGACACAGAACACCGAUCGCGAAGGCAGCUCGCUAAGCUAUAACUGACGCUCAUGCACGAAAGCGUGGGGAUCAAACAG